GGGGGUCCUUCGCUGCAAUCUGCUCGAUGCUGCUGCGACAAAACGCCUGAACCAUGCACAAGUCCAGCAAAAAACCAGAAUGUAACAGUCGGCAGGGGACAGGGCUGUGGCCAUAUGCCUCCGCAUUGCCUUCUCGGUGUGCAGGCCUCCUGUCCGCCUAGACUUCAGGCCAUCUGUUUAAGGGUGAGCUUUUCUUCCUCUUCCAGAGCAGACUGUGGUGUGAAGAUUACAGUGGAUUCACAAGUAUUGUUACUCGGCUAAUGGUUAGGAUUACAGCUCUAAUUGCUUCUUAUGGAUAAAGACUUCAAAGAGCUACACAAAACAGCAGCUCUGAAUGUUCAUCUGAAGUGCAUCAAUAAUAAGGUUAUUGUGUCUUCCUCUGAAAGGAUUAUUUGGUGUAACCCCUUUCCUAAGUGGACCCACCGCAUGGAUUUAAGCUAAACGUCUGUUUUGGAUGAGUUGGGAGCGUGGGGAAGAGAUGAAGCGCAGGGCACGGGGAGAAUGAAAAAGCUGAGGGCUUAAGAAUGGAUCGGCCACAUUAGAAGCUACCUGCUGGGACUGUACUGCUGACUAAGGGGAAACUUGAAAAAAGUCGGACAUUUGGGCCACUGCCCUGGUACUGUGGGGAAAAAACGUGUGGGCCCAACAGACUGCAGGAGGGUGGGACUGUGUGUGUGUGUGUGUGUGUGUGUAUGAAGGUCUUCCUGCUGUUUGAGUUUCCUUCUCAGGGAGUAUAUGACACCCCCACAGAUCUCCAUCCCUGUAACAGGCACCUCACACACACACACACACACACACACCCUCCUUUCGUCCCUUCUCUCCCCUCCUGCAUCUCACACACUGAGACAUUUUUCCACAUUGGCCGGAUUAGGAACACUUUCACUUAGAUCUAUGCAGUCGCCCCCACAGACAAAGAAACACUCGGGGACAGGAUUAGUAGGAUUAAAGGGGAUUCACAUAUGUCCAGUUCAAGCAAUUGGUAUUCAAAGCUUUACACUUUCAAAUGCCACCAAGAGAGAGCAAAGAAGUCCAGAGCUUUUCUUUGCAUUGCAGCACCUUUAUGAGGUACGGUUCCCUUUCUGCUCCUACAAUACCACUCUGAAUACACAUUUUCACUUUUUUUGGAGGGGAUUUUUAUUGAUUUGGAACACCAAGAAGUGGAUGAGAUGGAGGGGUUUUGUGUGUCUAUAAGUGUGUAUGAAUAGAUGGUCUAUUUCUACCUCCUCUAAUUUACCAAAGAUUGUGUUUAUUCCGUACCCUGGUUAUCUUUCCACUGAUUCAAUCUUAAACCUGGAACAGGUUUAUUAUAAUUAGUCAUGAUUAUAUGGAUCCUCUACAAAUAUUCUUACUAUUAAACCUAGUGUCAUUGGAAUCGCAACAAUUGUUCAUAUUGCCUGAUGCUUUCCAGUACCACUUUUUAAUUUAGGCUAUUGAUACCACAAGAUACAUGCUAUAUACUAUAAUUGCUGUACACUGUAUAGUUAUAUAUAACAACUUUACAAAUAUUGUCCAAAUACAUUUUGUAUUUUGGCACAAUCAGUUUGUAUUCAAAUGUAUUAGGAUUAAGGUAACAGAUAUAAUAUAGGGGCUUGUUAAUUUCAUUGAAAAUGAAGACAGAUCAUUUCAGCUGAAUUAAAAUGCAGAUUUAUUUCAAAUUAAUAUUGCAUCUCAGUCUUAAAGGCAGUCAGUUUAGUUAGAAUGUAAUAAUUAUUAUUACUUUAAUUAGCAAACUUGGGGAUUAUAGAGAAAUGUAUAAGUGCA